AAUGAACGCUAGCUACAGGCUUAACACAUGCAAGUCGAGGGGAAACGACAUCGAAAGCUUGCUUUUGAUGGGCGUCGACCGGCGCACGGGUGAGUAACGCGUAUCCAACCUGCCCACCACUUGGGGAUAACCUUGCGAAAGUAAGACUAAUACCCAAUGAUAUCUCUAGAAGACAUCUGAAAGAGAUUAAAGAUUUAUCGGUGAUGGAUGGGGAUGCGUCUGAUUAGCUUGUUGGCGGGGUAACGGCCCACCAAGGCGACGAUCAGUAGGGGUUCUGAGAGGAAGGUCCCCCACAUUGGAACUGAGACACGGUCCAAACUCCUACGGGAGGCAGCAGUGAGGAGUAUUGGUCAAUGGGCGAGAGCUUGAACCAGCCAAGUAGCGUGCAGGAUGACGGCCCUAUGGGUUGUAAACUGCUUUUAUAAGGGAAUAAAGUGAGCCUCGUGAGGCUUUUUGCAUGUACCUUAUGAAUAAGGACCGGCUAAUUCCGUGCCAGCCGCCGCCGUAA
rnacentral:rRNA from 1 species